GGAUGACGGCCUUCGGGUUGUAAACUCCUUUUGUCAGGGACAAUGGUGAUGGUACCUGACGAAUAAGCCACGGCUAACUCUGUGCCAGCAGCCGCGGUAAGACAGAGGUGGCGAGCGUUGUUCGGAAUUACUGGGCUUAAAGGGCGCGUAGGCGGUGGUGUAAGUCUGGGGUGGAAUGCUACAGCUCAACUGUAGAGCUGCCUUGGAAACUGCAUUACUUGAGUCGGUGAGGGGAAGGCGGAAUUCCUGGUGUAGCGGUGAAAUGCGUAGAUAUCAGGAGGAAGGUCUGUGGCGAAGGCGGCCUUCUGCNACUUGACUGACGCUGAGGCGCGAAAGCGUGGGGAGCAAACAGGAUUAGAUACCCUGGUAGUCCACGCCCUAAACGGUGGGUAUUAGGUGUGGGGCCUUCAUGGGUUCCGUGCCCGAACGAACGCAUUAAAUACCCCCGCCUGGGGAGUACNGGCGCAAGGUUNAAACUC
rnacentral:rRNA from 1 species